rnacentral:rRNA from 1 species
UACGUAGGGGGCAAGCGUUGUCCGGAUUUAUUGGGCGUAAAGAGCGUGUAGACGGCCAUGCAGGUCCGUUGUGAAAACUCGAGGCUCAACCUCGAGACGCCGGUGGAAACCGUAUGGCUAGAGUCCGGAAGAGGAGAGUGGAAUUCCUGGUGUAGCGGUGAAAUGCGCAGAUAUCAGGAAGAACACCCGUGGCGAAGGCGGCUCUCUGGGACGUGACUGACGCUGAGACGCGAAAGCGUGGGAGCAAACAGG